CUCUCUUCCAAAUCCCAAAAUUUCCCCCUCUCUCCUAGCAAAAUCCCCAUUCCCUCCUAACUUAGAACAAAAAAAACCCCAAUCACUUUGCGUCACAGCCCCAUUCUCACCCCAAUCACUUCGAGCUCCUCCCAACCCCCUCCAUAGUACGUCAUUUCCCUUCCUCCCAGCCCCUACCAUUGUCGUUCACCUUCCUCCCAGCCCCUACUUCGUCACAGCCCCCAAGAUCGACGAAGGCAGAAACCCUAGCGUCGCCGAGCUCCUCUGUCGCGUCUCACCGCGAGCUUCCUGUCACCGCGAGGAAGAAGAGUAGGCAUCGCGCUCCUCCGCUAUCCAGCCACCGUCGAACUUCGAAGAGAGAGAGAAAGCUCAUGAAGAUGAGAGAGAGAGGGGUCAAAAGCUGAGCUGGUGUCUGUCACCGCCUCCACUGCCUUCACCGCCGCUGUUGAAGCUCUGCUGCUGCCGUCUGAGCUGCCGCCAGGGGAAGCUGCUGCCGCCGUUACCACCACAGCACAAGAGAAUCCACCACAGCAAGGAAAGGAACGUGUUUUGUAUUCCACUGAUGAGCAAAGUUUGAGGGAGGUUUUUGGGAAAUAUGGUGAUGUUGUUGAUGCAAGGAUAAUUGUGUACCGUGAUUUUGGCAGAUCCAGAGGAUUUGGGUUUAUUACUUACAGUUCAGUGAAAGAGGCGUCAAGUGCCCUUCAGGCCUUAGAUGGGCAGGAAGACAUGAUGUGAUGAAGAAAAUAUGUUCCAUACAAAUAUCACAUGGGAUGGGUCUUACAAUGACCUUAGUUAUGUAAAUGUAAUAUUUUGAUAUGUUAUGUACUUUUUGAGGUAUUACAUGUAAUUGGAAAAAUUUCACUCUUUUUAAUUUGUGUUGUUUAGACUAAAAAUUAAACAUAUAUAUCUUAUAAUGAAACUUUUAUGAUUU